CAGUCGCCACGGUAAUACGAAGGGUGCAAGCGUUAAUCGGAAUUACUGGGCGUAAAGGGCGCGUAGGCGGUUGUUCAAGUCUGUUGUGAAAUCCCCGGGCUCAACCUGGGAAUGGCAAUGGAAACUGGACGGCUAGAGUGUGUCAGAGGAUGGUGGAAUUCCCGGUGUAGCGGUGAAAUGCGUAGAGAUCGGGAGGAACAUCAGUGGCGAAGGCGGCCAUCUGGGACAACACUGACGCUGAAGCACGAAAGCGUGGGGAGCAAACAGGAUUAGAUACCCGCGUAGUCCCUGUCUCUUAUAC
rnacentral:rRNA from 1 species